AGGCCUCAGGGGAUCCUAUAGGGAAAGGCUGAGUUUGAUCUAAAGAGAAACACGUGACCCAAAACAUCCUUACCAUGGGAAAUUGGGAGGGAGGAGGGAUGGGGUCCUCUCCCUUUUCUCACAGGUGCUUAGAAGGAGACUCUGAAGAGAGCUCUCUCAGCCACUAACAAGUCACAAUGCAGAAGGUCCAUCUCUCCAGGCAAAUAAAGAUCCAGACUGGUUUUUGGUGACCACGGAACCAAAAAGAAGUUUAUGAAGAGUACAGAAACUAAGCAAUCAUGAGAAAAAACAGAUAAAGAGAGACAGAGCGAGGGGAAGACAACACAGCACCAAAGCUUCCUCCAUUGCCAUUGGUGUCUCUCAUGUAGUGCCAGGACUUGAACCUGUGUUGCAUGCGUGACAGUGCAGCCAACCUGCCUGGUGAGCUAUCUUUUUAGCCUCAGUGAAGCACUCGUUAUGACAGAUUGACAUAUCUACAUUGACAUAUUGUUGUCACUAAGGUCCACUGUUGACCGGAGACUUCAUUCUUGGUGUUGGGCAGUCUGUGGCUUUGAACAAAUGUGUAAGGAUGAGUGGCUACCAUGACAGAUCAAGCAGAGUAACCUCACUGCCCUGGAGUCCCUUGGGCUCUACCUACUCAUCUGCCCUCAACCCCACAUUGGCAACCACUGGACCUUUUUUUUUUUUAAUCUUUAUUUAUUUGAUAGAGACAGCCAGAAAUUGAGAAGAAGGGGGAGACAGCGAAGGAGAUAAUCUCUGUCUGUUCAUCUCUCUCUGCCCAUGUGCCUCUAUCUGAAUGAAACAGUGUCCCAAGAACAGUGAAGUCAACCUUGUGUGAGGCCCUGGCUCUUCCACUCUCAAUUUUGUAAAAACUAAAUAAACAAAUAAAUGACUUA